AUUGAACGCUGGCGGCAGGCCUAACACAUGCAAGUCGAGCGGAUGAAGGGAGCUUGCUCCUGGAUUCAGCGGCGGACGGGUGAGUAAUGCCUAGGAAUCUGCCUGGUAGUGGGGGAUAACGUCCGGAAACGGGCGCUAAUACCGCAUACGUCCUGAGGGAGAAAGUGGGGGAUCUUCGGACCUCACGCUAUCAGAUGAGCCUAGGUCGGAUUAGCUAGUUGGUGGGGUAAAGGCCUACCAAGGCGACGAUCCGUAACUGGUCUGAGAGGAUGAUCAGUCACACUGGAACUGAGACACGGUCCAGACUCCUACGGGAGGCAGCAGUGGGGAAUAUUGGACAAUGGGCGAAAGCCUGAUCCAGCCAUGCCGCGUGUGUGAAGAAGGUCUUCGGAUUGUAAUGCACUUUAAGUUGGGAGGAAGGGCUGUAAGUUAAUACCUUGCUGUUUUGACGUUACCAACAGAAUAAGCACCGGCUAACUUCGUG
rnacentral:rRNA from 1 species